UACGUAGGGUGCAAGCGUUGUCCGGAAUUAUUGGGCGUAAAGAGUUCGUAGGCGGUUUGUCGCGUCUGUUGUGAAAGCCCGGGGCUCAACCCCGGGUCUGCAGUGGAUACGGGCAGGCUAGAGUCAGGUAGGGGAGAACGGAAUUCCUGGUGUAGCGGUGAAAUGCGCAGAUAUCAGGAGGAACACCGGUGGCGAAGGCGGUUCUCUGGGCCUGUACUGACGCUGAGGAACGAAAGCGUGGGGAGCGAACAGG
rnacentral:rRNA from 1 species